GCUGGCGGCGUGCUUAACACAUGCAAGUCGAACGGUAACAGAUACUUCGGUAUGCUGACGAGUGGCGCACGGGUGAGUAAUAUAUAGAUAAUGUGCCCCUUAGUCUGGGAUAGCCAUUGGAAACGAUGAUUAAUACUAGAUAUUCCUUCUAAACAUAAGUUUAGUUGGGAAAGUUUUUUCGCUAAGGGAUCUGUCUAUAUCCUAUCAGUUAGUUGGUGAGGUAAUGGCUCACCAAGACUAUGACGGGUAGCGGGUUUGAGAGGAUGAUCCGCCACACUGGUACUGAGACACGGACCAGACUCCUACGGGAGGCAGCAGUGAGGAAUAUUGCACAAUGGGGGAAACCCUGAUGCAGCAACGCCGCGUGGAGGAUGACGCAUUUCGGUGUGUAAACUCCUUUUAUGAGUCAAGAAAAUGACGGUAGCUCAUGAAUAAGCACCGGCUAACUCCGUGCCAGCAGCCGCGGUAAUACGGAGGGUGCAAGCGUUACUCGGAAUCACUGGGCGUAAAGGACGCGUAGGCGGGAUAUUAAGUCUGAUGUGAAAUCCUAUGGCUCAACCAUAGAACUGCAUUGGAAACUAGUAACCUAGAGUAUGGGAGGGGGAGAUGGAAUUAGUGGUGUAGGGGUAAAAUCCGUAGAUAUCACUAGGAAUACCGAAAGCGAAGGCGAUCUCCUGGAACAUAACUGACGCUGAGGCGUGAAGGCGUGGGGAGCAAACGGGAUUAGAUACCCGGUAGUCCACGCCCUAAACGAUGUUCACUAGUCGUCGGAAAGCUUGUCUUUUCGGUGAUGCACUUAACAGAUUAAGUGAACCGCCUGGGGAGUACGGUCGCAAGAUUAAAACUCAAAGGAAUAGACGGGGAC
rnacentral:rRNA from 1 species